UCCAGCCUUUCAAGCUUUGGUGGGCCGAAUGGAAACAAUUCCUUUUCUGCAACUCCGCAUCGGCAUACUGCAAUCUCCUGGACCCAACCAACAUCGACCCGAACGCCGAGGUAUUUUUCUUUAGCCGAUUUUUAUUCUUUUAUCAACGCAGCUGAACACUAACAUUUUGCUAUUGCUUCAGUCCGAGAACCGUGUCCCCCAACACACAGCCGGAGUGGUCGACUAAUAGAAGAUCAUCAUCC
rnacentral:lncRNA from 1 species